GGCCCCCUGCUAAUUAGCAGCCUGACCGCUCGGCUCGGCCUCCUUCCCGUUCCGGCUUCUCUUGGAGCCCCGUGGCAGACGUUGCUUGUGCGAUCUACCCUCGUCUUGGGUACGAUUCGGUUCCAUGGAUUUGAAUGUACGGCCUUUGCCCGGCUCUCGGAAAGCCGGGCUUGCCGCCUAAUCUUGCGGUGGGGAGCGCCGUCGUGAUGCCUUGCCGAUAGCUCGGCGGGUGCCACGGGGCCGCUGCGCCUGCCCAAUCAGCUGGUUAUCUCGGGUGUGGUUUAACUUGCGGUCAUCGGGGUCUCCAGGAGGCGCCCCUUGUCGCGGACCCAAUGUGGUCGGCAGUUGGUUCGGCUGUCCGUGGUGCGGCGUUGUGCUUCGGCACCUCGUCCGUGCCGGCUUUGAUGAUGUGCUACCUGGUUGAUCCUGCCAGUAGUCAUAUGCUUGUCUCAAAGAU
rnacentral:misc_RNA from 1 species